ACGUCCGGUAGAGGUGACUCUCAGGAAAGUGCAACAGAAAAUAACCGCCGCGCAAGCGGUAAGGGUGAAAAGGCGGUGUAAGAGACCACCGCUUAUCCGGUAACGGGUAAGGCUGUGUAAACCCCAUCCGAAGCAAGACCAGACAGAGCCUAUAAUUUUGCCCGACUUGGCUCAGGUAGGUUGCUUGAAAUUCAUGGUAACAUGGAUUCUAGACAGAUGAUCGUUCAAGACAGAACCCGGCUUACAGUUCCACUCGCUUA
rnacentral:RNase_P_RNA from 1 species